GACGAACGCUGGCGGCGUGCUUAACACAUGCAAGUCGAGCGGAAAGACCCUGCUUUUGUGGGGUGCUCGAUUGGCGAACGGGUGAGUAACACGUGAGUAACCUGCCCUUGACUUUGGGGUAACUUCAGGGGACUGGGGCUAAUACCGGAUAUGAGCUCCUGCUGCGUGGUGGGGGUUGGAAAAUUUCGGCGGUUGGGGCUGGUCUCGAGGCUUAUCAGCUUGUUGGUGGAGUAGGGGCUUACAAAGGCUUUGAAGGGUAGCCGGCCUGGGAGGGUGACCGGCCACAUGAGGACUGAGAGACGGAGCAGACUCGAACGUUAGGCAGCAGGCGGGAGCAUUGCACAACGGGGGGACGUCAGAGGCAGAAAUGUUGCGAUCGUGAUGCCCUCCUACGAGUGGUAAACAGCUUUCUAAUGUGAUGAAGCGGGAGUGACGGUAAUGGGUAAAGAAGCACCGGCUAACUACGUG
rnacentral:rRNA from 1 species